GAUGGUGAGUUUUAAUUAUUAAGGUGAAAUUUUUAAUUACUUGUAAAUUCUCUAAUAAUCUCUUGGAACUAAGAAAUUUAGAUUAAAAACCAGGAUUAGAUACCCUGUUAUUCUAAAUAAUCACAUGAGUAGGGUAGUAAAAGUUGUUCUUCAAACCCAAAGAUUUUGGCGGCAUUCCAUCCCAAUAGAGGAGCUUGUCCUGUAAUUGAUAGACCUCAUUUUAUCUUACCCUCUUUUGUUUAGCUUGUAUACCGCCGUUGUCAGACUACUUUAAAAGAAUGUUUUCUAUAAAAAUAUUUUUUUCACUUCAGGUCAAGGUGCAGCUUAUGGGAGGGUAGCGAUGAGCUACAAUUUUAAAUAAAAAUACGGACUCUAGGCUUAAAAACUGGAGGAAGGUGGAUUUAUUAGUAAAUUUAUUUAAGUAUAAUAAAUUGAAUAAGGCAAUGGAAUGUGCACAUAUCGCCCGUCACUCUCUUCUU
rnacentral:rRNA from 1 species